rnacentral:lncRNA from 1 species
GUGCGCCGGAGGCUGCCGUGGCGGGUGGGCCGCCUGACUUCUCCUCCCGGCCAGUUCUCGAGCGCCUCACCGGGCCUCGCCCUGCAGCCUCGCUCUCGCUGGCGCUGCGCGGCCUAGGGGACUGGGCUGCUGGCCUCCGGGUGCGGGGUGGGGGCAGGCUCCGACCUGGGGCGUCCUGGCCGCGCGAGCCGCGGGAUGGGGGCCCGGGCCGCGGAGGAGGCGCCGCUGGUGUGUCCCUUGGUGGAGAGGGCGCUGCCGGCCCUGCGCGGUUUCCAGCCAGGAAGCUUCGGGAAGCCUGGACGUCUGCUCACUGGAGAUGACACGUGCGUGGGGUGUUGGCAUUCUUGUUAUUUAACACGGGAAGGAGGUGACUUCGCCUGUGAUGGACUUCCAGUGUGAGCACUGGCCAGAGUGACCAGGCUGACCAGCACCAGCCCUGAUCCAGAUGCAGAGGCCAGGAUGUGGGCCCAGCCCUGUGCCAGGAGGCUGGCUGGAAUAAAGGUACAGAUAGAGGCCUCACCCCCUCUGGGACCACUGGCACUCAGGGUGUUUGCAGCCUCAGAGCCCACCUGCCCCCAGGGCCACAGCUGCAUCUCCUGCCCUGCUGUCAUUACAGGGAUGGGCAGGCUGGCAUGGGGGCAGCCGCUGCCCCUGCCUGGGUGUUGCUGUGUAUUCCUGCCGGCCAGGGGCCACUGCCAGGACCACGCCUCCCUUUUCAUAUCCCGAUUCUUAAGUUCUGCUAUUGUGGUAUUCUGGUGGAGAAAAAAGAACCGCGUGGCUGUUUUUGAACUGCCUGGAACCUAAGACCCUGAAUUCUUUUCCCCCCCAAGGGGAAAAUCUAUAUGGAAAACAUUUAUUUUAAAAUACAGGAUGAAGUGAAUUAAAAGAUUUAAAUGCACAUUUCUUUAAGGAUAAUAUUUCUGUGUUGGCAAAAUUUGAGAGUAAAUUGGUCUUGAAUGGAAUGGAUUGUCUUGACUCACACAUUGCGGAGCAGAGCCCGCCCUGAAGAAAGGUGUUGCUGUGGUGGGAUCUUCCCACGAGGGUCCUUGCCUGUUCUCCUAGGGGAUGGUUGCUGGGUGCCCUGGGCUACUGGGGAGAGCGUACGGGGCUGGAGAAGAUGGCC